ACAGAAUGAACUCCGGACUUACCAUUAUGCCUUGUACCAACACAUUUCCCUACCUUGAAUCCUAACUCCAACUCCACAUCCACCCUAACCCCACCUCCCAUGACUCUUUCUUUACCCUCAAAUCUCACUCACUCUCUUACCCCGGAUUCAACCAGCUCUAGCCCUGCCCUUCACCUCUGCCGUUGCCCGUGCCCCCACCAAUAAAAUCUUGACCUCUUCCCCUGUGCAGUUGGCUCCUUCUUAAUUAAAUGUCCUCUGCCCUCCCUGGAAGCCUUGAGCUCCCAUGUGCUUUGAGAUUCUGCUUCCAUCCUAGGCCUGGAAGCAGCCCAGGGAGGGAGGAGGGCUCCCCCAUUGAAAAUCUCAACAGGGGCCAUCCCAGGCUGCGGAUCUCCAGGGAUUUCCUGGACUCCUUCCUCCACUCCCACUCACGCUGGCCCCAGGGAUCCUCAGUUGUUAGAAGAGCUGUGGAGAGGGAUUCUGGGCAGGCGCUGUCUCAGACCAGAGUGGCUGUGGGAGGCUCCUCCCUGGUUAGUUUACUUUACACCCCCUCCGAAAGCGAGGACUCCCUCGUCUCCCCUGAUCUCUGUCUGCUCCCAACUCAAGCAUGAAAAUGACUUUUCCACAUGCUGGGCCUUCCCCCAUCCCCUCGCACACACUCACACUAUGCUCAGAAGCUUCCAGAAUCCCAAACCCGCCCCAAAGCUGCCACUUUGCAAAGGCUUCCUCUAAAGCCACAUCUGUCCCAGAGAGACCCCCGAAAGUGGAGGAAAGGGGUCGGCUGGCUGGAGUUGGGGCCCGGAGGCUGCCCAGAUCAGGAGGAAUGGGCCGGCGCCCCCUCCCCACAGCCCCGGCGAGUUCCUGGACGGGCGCGCGCAAGCACAGCGACCCCUACCGGCUCCUCCACUCUCCCCAGCCACCUCCUCCAGGAAGCUCGCUCGGGCUUCCGGGACCUGGAAGAGUCCUGUAGAGACUGUCUGAGAGAUGCUUUUGGCCUCCCAGACAUUUUGUCCUUGGGUCCUCACUAAUACAUCACGAGGUCUCUUCACUUGAACCAGUUGGGGGUAAACUUCGUUUCCCGUCGUGACCCUGCCUGAUACAGCACCUUCUGCCCAGGCCACAAAACAAGCCAUGGCCAGCGGGAGGCCAAGGGACAAGAGAGAGAUUGCCAGAGGGCAGAAACACACAGGACAAAAUGGGGCAGAGAAGCAGAAACAGGGAGAGAUUAAAAAGGCAAAGGCUGGCCGGGCGCUGUGGCUCAUGCCUGUAAUCUCAACAUUUUGGGAGGCCUGAAGGAGGUGGAUCACUUGAGCCCAAGAGUUUGAGAUCAGCCUGGGCAACAUAGCAAGACCCCGUCUCUGCAAAAAAAAAUUAAAAAAUUUAGCUAGGCAUGAUGGUUCACCCCUCUGAUUGCCUGAUUGCUUAAGUUCCAGGCUGCAGUGAGCUGCGAUUGCACCAUUGUACUCUGGCCUGGGCAACAGAGCCAGAUCCUGUCUCUAAAAAUAAAUAAAUAGAUAAAUAUA